AUCCAUUUUUCCAUGCAGUUUACUGUUCUAAAAGCUGUAAUACCCAUAUUUAAAUGCAGUAGUCUUAACUCCAUAGCAAUGGAAGCGCUAUAUAAAAUCACAUCUCACUUUUGGUUUGUAAGUGAAAACUUAGAAAAAAAUAAAUGUUGUUUUGUUGAGUGAUAGGAAUGAAGCAUUUAUACACUUAUACACUUAUUAUGUAUGUGGUUGGAUGACUUAUUUACUUAUUUACUGGGUCCCAAUUUCCUUUGUUUCUUCUAGUUUCUCUUUUCAUCUCUCCUUUUGAGACCUGUCCCCUUUUUCUACACUUCUUUACUCCCAGACAACAGCAAUGAGCAGUGAAUGUGUCUGAUGCUGAUAUUUGCAGUAGAUGGCAUCCCUCUCUCUUACCCAGUAAUAAAAUAAGGUAUGGAUUGUUUUUAAUUUAAUGUAAUUGGGGAGAUAUCCACACCAGAAGCCCAGAUCAGUCCUGCUAAUUUGGAUCCUGAUAACACACCCAAGAAGAGAAAAAUGUACCAAAGCUGAAGUCCACUUUGUUAUUGCUUUGUAGUGUUAGCUAGAAGUGGUUAUUUUUCACUCUCUUUUCUCUGUUGUGGAGAGAUGGCAUUAAUGCCUGUUGCUUUUCUUUUUUAUGUUUAAGUGGUGGGUAAAUGUUCUCAGUGUGUUUUGCAAGGAAAAGCUAAAAUGCCAUGUUCUGUUUUGUGUCUGUUGUGCAGCAUAAAACACACAGGCAGAAAGUUCCCUUGGUACAGGAUUUGGAUGAAGCUGGUAUAUAUAGUCCUGUCCUCAGACUUGAAUACCAAAAGGACCUCAGGGGAUUCCUUGAAUGCAGUUUGGGGCUGGAAGGGGCAAUAUUCAUAGUGUUGAAUAGAACAACUUCUGAUGAUGCCCUGGAUCUGCCUGAGCUGUUUGCCUUUUUCUGUUUCCUGCUGAGUUUGUCUGAGAGGUUCUGGAGCUAUAAACACAGCUGCUUAAAGCACAGAGAAGCUUCCAGACGCUGGAGGAGGUGA
rnacentral:lncRNA from 1 species